UACAGAGGGUGCGAGCGUUAAUCGGAGUUACUGGGCGUAAAGGGCGCGUAGGUGGUUAUAUGAGUGUGAUGUGAAAGCCCCGGGCUUAACCUGGGAAGUGCAUCGCAAACGAUAUAACUGGAGUACAAGAGAGGGUGGCGGAAUUUCCGGUGUAGCGGUGAAAUGCGUAGAGAUCGGAAGGAACGUCGAUGGCGAAGGCAGCCACCUGGCUUGAUACUGACACUGAGGCGCGAAAGCGUGGGUAGCGAACAGG
rnacentral:rRNA from 1 species